GUUCGGAUUGUAGGCUGCAACUCGCCUGCAUGAAGUCGGAAUUGCUAGUAAUCGUAGGUCAGCAUACUACGGUGAAUACGUUCCCGGGCCUUGUACACACCGCCCGUCAAACCAUGAGAGUUGGCAACACCCGAAGUCGGUAGUCUAACCGCAAGGAGGACGCCGCCGAAGGUGGGGUUGAUGAUUAGGGUUAAGUCGUAACAAGGUACC
rnacentral:rRNA from 1 species